GAUUGUUUUACAGUCCAUACAACAGCAGGUCAACCAAUAAUAACAACAACAGCUAGACCAACAACAACACAUAAACCAACAACAACACAUAAACCAACAACAACAACACCUAAACCAACAAUUACAACACCUAAACCAACAACAACAACAACAACACGUAAACCAACAACAAAAACAACAGUUAAACUAACAACAACACAUAAACAACAACAACAGCUAAACCAACAACAACAGCUAGACCAACAACAACACCUAAACCAACAACACAUAAACUAACAACUACAACUCCUAAACCAACCACGACAACACCUAAACCCACACAACACAACAACAACACAUAAACCAACAACUACAACUCCUAAACCAACCACAACAACACUUAAACCAACAACAACAGCUAGACCAACAACAAAAACAACAGUUAAGCUGACAACAACACAUAAACCAACAACAGCUAGACCACCUACAACAACAACAAGAAAUACAGCUCAACCGGUAACAAAAACGGCAGGUUGGUUUUGUAAUUAGUUUUGAGGCAAAUCCCAUUUGUUGGUACAAAUAAUGUUUUCAUCAUCAUGCAUUUCCAGAGAAGACUUGUUUUGUAUUGCAAAACAUUCUGAUAUCAAGAUGAUACUAUUUGUAAACAAAAACAAAAUCUUUUUGAUAAACCUUAAUGUAUUGAUGCAUACAGGUACGUAACUCAAUAGUAACUUUAUAAUUAUAUUCGGUCGAAAAGUUUGCAUACACUCUGUAUUAUCUAAAUUAUCUUAGUCGGUUAGUUGAUUAUAGGUUUUCUCAAAAGCAUUUCAUGUAUGGUUGUUAAUUGGGGUUUUAUUUUGUAUUAGCCAUGGAGUUCACAGUUUGUUCACGAAAAGUGAGUGUGAAUAUACUCCGCAUCAUUUAUAUCAAAUGUCAGAAUAAAUUACAUUUCUCAAUAGAUAUAAGGAGAUGUGGUACAAGUGCAAAUGAGACAAGUGUCCAUUCAAGUCAAUUUGUAAAAGUAGGUCAAAGAACGGUCUUUAACACGGGCACGGAGCCUUAGCUAAACCGAACAGCAAGCUAUAUAGGGCCCCAAAAAUGACAAGCGUAAAUUAAAACCCAUAUAAAUUGCGUUUGCCGUACACUAUUUUAACCCUGGUAUUUAUCAUGUUUUUAUUUACAACCACUGGGUGGAUGCAACUGCUGGUUGGGGUUUUUCCCAUGGGAAUAACCUACUCAGUAGUCAGCACUUCUGUGUUGACAUGAAUUAGCAUUUAUAUAAUAAUAAAAAAAAAACUGUUAAUUCAACUUUGAUACUUUUUAAAUACCCAGGAUUAUCUACCCCAUGAAUAGAUUGUCUUGGCUGUGUUUGUAAAGCUUUGGAACAUUUGGGUCCUCGGUUCUCAACAACUUCAUGCUUUGUUUGGCCUUUAUAGUUUUGAUGAUCCGAGCGUUACUGACGAAUUUGUCUUUAGACUAAAUCGAAAGGUGAUAACGUGAAGCUGUUAAUGCAGAAAUUGUUGUUGUUGAUACUGUUUUAAAUAUUGUUGAGCUAUGUAUUUGUCAUGUGUCUAAUGAUAAUACUUGUAUGUUAUCUGACAUAUUAAUUUAAAACUUAUACAUUUCCUUUUGUUUCAGUGGUUUGCCAAGAUAAACCUGGAGUGAAUUGUACUUUAUUCAACGCAAAUUUUUGUGCCAACCCCUAUUCAAAUGAGAUUUGUGCCAAAUCCUGUGGUCACUGCACCAGUGUUAUGCAGUCUGCACUUGGUUAAUAUUGAAUUUUAACUAUACGAUGUUUUGUUUUUUAUUAUGUAUUUCAUGAAAAUUGUGGUGGAACUGAAUAAAAGUGCCG
rnacentral:lncRNA from 1 species